ACACGCAGUCGCAGACGCCGCCUUCUUCCAUCCAGCGGUACAGCCGGUCAGCCGUACAGGCGAGAGGCGAUCCAGCCUUCCAGACUCCAGAGUCCAGACGCCGCCAGCGCCGCCGCCCACCAGCAGCAGGAUCCAGCUCCACGUCCAGCCGCACCAGCAGCCAGCAGCCAGGGCUCCACGUCCAGCCGCAGCAGCCAGCACCAACAAGCUCCACGUCCAGCCACAGCCAGGGCUCGCCGGGGAUCCUGGACGCCGAGUCGCCUACCACGCCGGUCAGCCACGCCAUCCAGGACCAGGU
rnacentral:lncRNA from 7 species